rnacentral:lncRNA from 1 species
UGACUGAUUCUUUCUACAGAGAGGCUUACGUCAAGGUCAUCCCCUUAGCCCUUAUUUAUUUUUUAUUUGUUCUAAAGUAUUUGCCGCUUUGCUGCAUUUGGCUAGGACUAAUAGGUCGUUGAAAGAGACGUAGAUUUACAGAGAAGGCUCGAGUUUGACAGUUUUUUUUGCAGAUGAUAGUUUAUAUUUGGAGAAGCGUCGCCGAUGAGCAUUUCAGUGGUUCGAUCCAUAAUUCAGAAUACGAAUCUCUAUCAAUGUAGCAGGUAAAUUUUGAUAAGUCAGAUUUUUUUCGUAGUAAUGUUUCGGAAAGUUAAUGCCAACUUGAUCAUCCAAACUUUAGGGGUUUGAGAACGUUUAACCUUGAGAGGUAUUCGUGCUUCCUAAAUCAUACCUACAUACCUUAUUCUUUUACCGCGGAGGCCACAGCUGUUAUUCAUGCAUUAUGGUUUGUAGAGAAUUUAGGCUUUGCAUACGUUGAGAUUGAAGGAGAUCUAUUUACGAAGCUAAGGCAUUGGCUACAAGAUUCACACAACGCUAGUUCAGAUUUAUUCAGAGAGAAGGUCAUAUACCUGCGCACAGUUUAGCUCAUGAAGGAAUCCAUCCAGGCGUUGAUAACUUUUGGGUAGAGAGAGCUCUGAUGUCGGUUAUGGCCACUACUGAGAAAGAUAGGUGGUGGGUGGAUCCACCGAACUAACUUUUGCUGCUAAUCGAUAUUUGCUGGGCUGGUUUAACAUUUUCAGAAUUUUUGCCCAGAUUUUAGCUUUUGAGAUAGCUGUUAGGUUCUUUUGAAACUUAAAAGCUUAGGUUGAACUUUAUGCUUGCUAGGAAGAUAGAUGUCGUUAUUUUUGUGUUUUCUUUUAACUUUUCUAUUGCAAUUUUUUGAACGUUUUUUCCGAGACAGCUUAGCUAUCCUCCAUCGAUAUUGUUCUCUGGUUUUUUUUGCCUAUUUUCCUUAAUAAAGUGUAGCCUUUAAAAAGUAUUUUUUCCGUGAUUAUGUGAGUUCAUAAAUUGAGUUUGUAUAAG